CAANGUAUGCUUUGGAAACUGUUAGACUUGAGUGCAGAAGGGGAGAGUGGAAUUCCAUGUGUAGCGGUGAAAUGCGUAGAUAUAUGGAGGAACACCGGUGGCGAAGGCGGCUCUCUGGUCUGUCACUGACGCUGAGGCUCGAAAGCGUGGGUAGCGAACAGGAUUAGAUACCCUGGUAGUNCACGCCGUAAACGCUGAGUGCUAGGUGUUAGGUCCUUUCCGGGACUCAGUGCCGACGCUAACGCAUUAAGCACUCCGCCUGGGGAGUACGACCGCAAGGUUGAAACUCAAAGGAAUUGACGGGGGCCCGCACAAGCGGUGGAGCAUGUGGUUUAAUUCGAAGCAACGCGAAGAACCUUACCAGGUCUUGACAUCCCGAUGCCCGCUCUAGAGAUAGAGUUUUUCUUCGGAACAUCGGAGACAGGUGGUGCAUGGUUGUCGUCAGCUCGUGUCGUGAGAUGUUGGGUUAAGUCCCGCAACGAGCGCAACCCUUAUUGUUAGUUGCCAUCAUUAAGUUAGGCACUCUAGCGAGACUGCCGGUAAUAAACCGGAGGAAGGUGGGGAUGACGUCAAAUCAUCAUGCCCCUUAUGACCUGGGCUACACACGUGCUACAAUGGUUGGUACAACGAGUCGCAAGCCGGUGACGGCAAGCUAAUCUCUGAAAGCCAAUCUCAGUUCGGAUUGUAGGCUGCAACUCGCUUACAUGAAGUCGGAAUCGCUAGUAAUCGCGGAUCAGCACGCCGCGGUGAAUACGUUCCCGGGCCUUGUACACACCGCCCGUCACACCACGAGAGUUUGUAACACCCAAAGUCGGUGAGGUAACCAUUUAUGGGGCCAGCCGCCUAAGGUGGGANGGA
rnacentral:rRNA from 1 species